GGUUUGAUCCUGGCUCAGAUUGAACGCUGGCGGGAUGCUUUACACAUGCAAGUCGAACGGCAGCACGGACUUCGGUCUGGUGGCGAGUGGCGAACGGGAGUAAUGUAUCGGAACGUGCCUAGCAGGGGGAUAACUACGCGAAAGCGUAGCUAAUACCGCAUACGCCCUUCGGGGGAAAGCGGGGGACCUUUCGGGCCUCGCACUAUUAGAGCGGCCGAUAUCGGAUUAGCUAGUUGGUGGGGUAACGGCUCACCAAGGCGACGAUCCGUAGCUGGUUUGAGAGGACCAGCCACACUGGGACUGAGACACGGCCCAGACUUACGUGAGGCAGCAGUGGGGAAUUUUGGACAAUGGGGGAAACCCCUGAUCCAGCCAUCCCGCGUGUGCGAUGAAGGCCUUCGGGUUUGUAAAGCACUUUUGGCGGAGAAACGGCACGAGAUAAUACCCCGUGCAACUGACGGUACCUGCAGAAUAAGCACCGGCUAACUACGUGCCAGCAGCCGCGGUAAUACGUAGGGUGCAAGCGUUAAUCGGAAUUACUGGGCGUAAAGCGUGUGCAGGCGGUUCGAAAGAAAGAUGUGAAACUUGAGCUUAACUUUGGAACUGCAUUUUUAACUACCGAGCUAGAGUGUGUCAGGAGGGAGGUGGAAUUCCGCGUGUAGCAGUGAAAUGCGUAGAUAUGCGGAGGAACACCGAUGGCGAAGGCAGCCUCCUGGGAUAACACUGACGCUCAUGCACGAAAGCGUGGGAGCAAACAGGAUUAGAUACCCUGUAGUCCACGCCCUAAACGAUGUCAACUAGCUGUUGGGGCCUUCGGGCCUUGGUAGCAGCUAAUGCCAUGGUUGACUGCCUGGGGAGUACGGUCGCAAGAUUAAAACUCAAAAGGAAUUGACGGGGACUCCGCACAAGCGUGGAUGGAUGGAUUAAUUCGAUGCAACGCGAAAAACCUUACCUACCCUUGACAUGUCUGGAAUCCCCCGGGAAGAGAUUUGGGAAUGCUCGCAAGAGAACCGGAACACAGGUGCUGCAUGGCUGUCGUCAGCUCGUGUAUCGUGAGAUGUUGGGUUAAGUCCCGCAACGAGCGCAACCCUUGUCAUUAGUUGCUACGAAAGGGCACCUAAUGAGACUGCCGGUGACAAACCGAGGAAGGUGGGGAUGACGUCAAGUCCUCAUGGCCCUUAUGGGUAGGGCUUCACAUGUCAUACAAUGGUCGGGACAGAGGGUCGCCAACCCGCGAGGGGGAGCCAAUCCCAGAAACCCGAUCGUAGUCCGGAUCGCAGUCUGCAACUCGACUGCGUGAAGUCGGAAUCGCUAGUAAUCGCGGAUCAGCAUGUCGCGGUGAAUACGUUCCCGGGUCUUGUACGCACCGCCUGUCACACCAUGGGAGGUGGGUUUUACCAGAAGUAGUUAGCCUAACCGUAAGGAGGGCGAUUACCACGGUAGGAUUCAUGACUGGGGUGAAGUCGUAACAAGGUAG
rnacentral:rRNA from 1 species